GCGGACGGGUGAGUAACACGUGGGUAACCUGCCCCUAAGUGGGGGAUAACAUUUGGAAACAGAUGCUAAUACCGCAUAGAUCCAAGAACCGCAUGGUUCUUGGCUGAAAGAUGGCGUAAGCUAUCGCUUUUGGAUGGACCCGCGGCGUAUUAGCUAGUUGGUGAGGUAAUGGCUCACCAAGGCGAUGAUACGUAGCCGAACUGAGAGGUUGAUCGGCCACAUUGGGACUGAGACACGGCCCAAACUCCUACGGGAGGCAGCAGUAGGGAAUCUUCCACAAUGGACGCAAGUCUGAUGGAGCAACGCCGCGUGAGUGAAGAAGGCUUUCGGGUCGUAAAACUCUGUUGUUGGAGAAGAAUGGUCGGCAGAAUAACUGUUGCCGGCGUGACGGUAUCCAACCAGAAAGCCACGGCUAACUACGUGCCAGCAGCCGCGGUAAUACGUAGGUGGCAAGCGUUAUCCGGAUUUAUUGGGCGUAAAGCGAGCGCAGGCGGUUUUUUAAGUCUGAUGUGAAAGCCCUCGGCUUAACCGAGGAAGCGCAUCGGAAACUGGGAAACUUGAGUGCAGAAGAGGACAGUGGAACUCCAUGUGUAGCGGUGAAAUGCGUAGAUAUAUGGAAGAACACCAGUGGCGAAGGCGGCUGUCUGGUCUGUAACUGACGCUGAGGCUCGAAAGCAUGGGUAGCGAACAGGAUUAGAUACCCUGGUAGUCCAUGCCGUAAACGAUGAAUGCUAG
rnacentral:rRNA from 1 species